CCUACGGGAGGCAGCAGUGAGGAAUAUUGGUCAAUGGGCGUAAGCCUGAACCAGCCAAGUCGCGUGAGGGAUGAAGGUUCUAUGGAUCGUAAACCUCUUUUAUAGGGGAGUAAAGUGUGGGACGUGUCCUAUUUUGUAUGUACCUGAUGAAUAAGGAUCGGCUAACUCCGUGCCAGCAGCCGCGGUAAUACGGAGGAUCCGAGCGUUAUCCGGAUUUAUUGGGUUUAAAGGGUGCGUAGGCGGCCUUUUAAGUCAGCGGUGAAAUUCUGUGGCUCAACCAUAGAAGGGCCGUUGAAACUGGGGUGCUUGAGUAGGUUUGAGGUAGGCGGAAUGCGUGGUGUAGCGGUGAAAUGCGUAGAUAUCACGCAGAACCCCGAUUGCGAAGGCAGCAUGCCAAGCCAUGACUGACGCUGAUGCACGAAAGCGUGGGGAUCAAACAGGAUUAGAUACCCCAGUAGUC
rnacentral:rRNA from 1 species